GCUUGGUACAGAGAGUGGCGAGAGGUCUUGCUGGCGUGACGCUGUGCAUGUGAGUGUCAGAGGGACAGCUGCUGGCUCUGCUCAUACAGGAGCUGCUUUGGGAGUCAGUCACCUACACAGAGUCUGGCAUCCAGAGCAAGACGACUAGCAGAGCAACAACAACCAGGAGAAGAAGAAGAAGAAGAAGACGAAGAAGAAGACGGGACUAAGAGGCAGCAGGAGCCUGGUGCUGAGGCUGGUAUGAGAGAAGGAGGCUGUGAAACUGUCCGGGUGUGA
rnacentral:lncRNA from 1 species